rnacentral:rRNA from 1 species
AACGCUGGCGGCAUGCCUAACACAUGCAAGUCGAACGGUAACAGGUCUUCGGAUGCUGACGAGUGGCGGACGGGUGAGUAAUGCGUAGGAAUCUGUCUUUUAGUGGGGGACAACCCAGGGAAACUUGGGCUAAUACCGCAUGAGCCCUGAGGGGGAAAGCGGGGGAUCUUCGGACCUCGCGCUAAGGGAAGAGCCUACGUCUGAUUAGCUGGUUGGUAGGGUAAAGGCCUACCAAGGCGACGAUCAGUAGCUGGUCUGAGAGGACGACCAGCCACACUGGGACUGAGACACGGCCCAGACUCCUACGGGAGGCAGCAGUGGGGAAUUUUUCGCAGUGGGGGCAACCCUGACGAAGCAAUGCCGCGUGGAUGAAGAAGGCCUUCGGGUUGUAAAGUCCUUUCGUGGGGGACGAAAAGGCGGGUCCUAAUACGAUCUGCUGUUGACGUGAACCCAAGAAGAAGCACCGGCUAACUCCGUGCCAGCAGCCGCGGUAAUACGGGGGGUGCAAGCGUUAA